GACAGAGGAUGCAAGCGUUAUCCGGAAUGAUUGGGCGUAAAGCGUCUGUAGGUGGCUUUUUAAGUCCGGCCGUCAAAUCCCAGGCUCAACCCUGGACAGGCGGUGGAACUACCAAGUCUGGAGUACGGUAGGGGCAGAAGGGAAUUUCCGGUGGAGCGGUGAAAUGCGGUAGAGAUCGGAAAGAACACCAACGGCGGAAAGCACUCUGACUG
rnacentral:rRNA from 1 species